rnacentral:rRNA from 1 species
AACGAACUCUGGUAUUGAUUGGUGCUUGCAUCAUGAUUUACAUUUGAGUGAGUGGCGAACUGGUGAGUAACACGUGGGAAACCUGCCCAGAAGCGGGGGAUAACACCUGGAAACAGAUGCUAAUACCGCAUAACAACUUGGACCGCAGGGUCCGAGUUUGAAAGAUGGCUUCGGCUAUCACUUUUGGAUGGUCCCGCGGCGUAUUAGCUAGAUGGUGGGGUAACGGCUCACCAUGGCAAUGAUACGUAGCCGACCUGAGAGGGUAAUCGGCCACAUUGGGACUGAGACACGGCCCAAACUCCUACGGGAGGCAGCAGUAGGGAAUCUUCCACAAUGGACGAAAGUCUGAUGGAGCAACGCCGCGUGAGUGAAGAAGGGUUUCGGCUCGUAAAACUCUGUUGUUAAAGAAGAACAUAUCUGAGAGUAACUGUUCAGGUAUUGACGGUAUUUAACCAGAAAGCCACGGCUAACUACGUGCCAGCAGCCGCGGUAAUACGUAGGUGGCAAGCGUUGUCCGGAUUUAUUGGGCGUAAAGCGAGCGCAGGCGGUUUUUUAAGUCUGAUGUGAAAGCCUUCGGCUCAACCGAAGAAGUGCAUCGGAAACUGGGAAACUUGAGUGCAGAAGAGGACAGUGGAACUCCAUGUGUAGCGGUGAAAUGCGUAGAUAUAUGGAAGAACACCAGUGGCGAA